rnacentral:rRNA from 1 species
UACGUAGGGGGCAAGCGUUGUCCGGAUUUAUUGGGCGUAAAGAGCGUGUAGGCGGCCUGGCAAGUCCGCUGUGAAAACUCGAGGCUUAACCUCGAGACGUCGGUGGAAACUGCGUGGCUAGAGUCCGGAAGAGGAGAGUGGAAUUCCUGGUGUAGCGGUGAAAUGCGCAGAUAUCAGGAAGAACACCCGUGGCUAAGGCGGCUCUCUAGUACGUGACUGACGCUGAGACGCGAAAGCGUGGGGAGCGAACAGG